rnacentral:rRNA from 1 species
AGAGUUUGAUCCUGGCUCAGGAUAAACGCUGGCGGCGUGCCUAACACAUGCAAGUCGAACGCUCUCUUGCCGCAAGGUGAGAGGGAGUGGCGGACGGGUGAGUAACACAUGGGAAUCGACCCAUUCGUGAGGAAUACCACCGAGAAAUCGGUGACAAUACCGCAUACGCUUUCUUCGGGAAGCAAAGCUCUUCGCAAGAGGGGCGCGAGUGGACGAGCCUGUGCCUGAUUAGCUGGUUGGUGGGGUAAGAGCCUACCAAGGCUGCGAUCAGUCGCUGGACUGAGAGGAUGAUCAGCCACACUGGGAUUGAGAACGGCCCAGACUCCUACGGGGGGCAGCAGUGAGGAAUAUUCGGCAAUGGGGGCAACCCUGACCGAGCAACGCCGCGUGCAGGAAGACGGCCUUCGGGUUGUAAACUGCUUUUCUGGGGGAAGAGAACGGACGGUACCCCAGGAAGAAGCUCCGGCUAACUACGUGCCAGCAGCCGCGGUAAUACGUAGGGAGCGAGCGUUGUCCGGAGUUACUGGGCGUAAAGCGCACGCAGGCGGUCUGUCGCGUUCGUGCCGACAGCGACUCGCCUAACGAGUCGAGGAGUGCGGAAACGGGCAGACUUGAGGGCCAGAGAGGGACACGGAACUCCGGGUGGAGUGGUGAAAUGCGUAGAGAUCCGGAAGAACACCAAAGGCGAAGGCAGUGUCCUGGUUGGUACCUGACGCUCAGAGGCGACAGCUAGGGGAGCGAACGGGAUUAGAUACCCCGGUAGUCC